rnacentral:tRNA from 1 species
GCGCCGGUGGUAGAGCGGUCAAUUACGACGCGCUGUAGACGCGUUGCCUUCGGGCUACGGGGGUUCGAAUCCCUCCCGGCGCACUA